rnacentral:misc_RNA from 1 species
AUCCUUCUCCAUUACCCUUCCAAAACAAGUAAGACAAACCCCUUUCUCCAUCACCCUAUAGGAAUUGCCAUUUGAGCCACUACCGUUUUCACUUCGGAUGAGUUCUUUAACAAGCUCGAGGUCAUCAGUGUCAACCAAAUUGAAUCUUGAACCAUCAGAAUGGAAACUUGCAUGGAUGGUCUGCCUAGCCCAGUUUCUUGCACACACAAUACCUGGUAAGCACAAGGGAAGGACUAACAGAAGAAUAGCACCUCCGAGAAGGAAGCGUGCUGUUGACGAAACUGAGGAUAAUGAAUCCAAGAGGAGCAGAUAUAGGCCAGUGAUAAU